rnacentral:rRNA from 1 species
AUGGCAUCAUUUGAUAUUGAAAACUCCGGUGGAUAGAGAUGGGCACGCGCAAGAUUAGAUAGUUGGUGAGGUAACGGCUCACCAAGUCAGUGAUCUUUAGGGGGCCUGAGAGGGUGAUCCCCCACACUGGUACUGAGACACGGACCAGACUCCUACGGGAGGCAGCAGUGAGGAAUAUUGGACAAUGGGUGAGAGCCUGAUCCAGCCAUCCCGCGUGAAGGACGACGGUUUUAUGGAUUGUAAACUUCUUUUAUACUGGGAUAAACCUACCCUCGUGAGGGUAGCUGAAGGUACAGUAUGAAUAAGCACCGGCUAACUCCGUGCCAGCAGCCGCGGUAAUACGGAGGGUGCAAGCGUUAUCCGGAUUUAUUGGGUUUAAAGGGUCCGUAGGCGGAUCUGUAAGUCAGUGGUGAAAUCUCAUAGCUUAACUAUGAAACUGCCAUUGAUACUGCAGGUCUUGAGUAAAGUAGAAGUGGCUGGAAUAAGUAGUGUAGCGGUGAAAUGCAUAGAUAUUACUUAGAACACCAAUUGCGAAGGCAGGUCACUAUGUUUUAACUGACGCUGAUGGACGAAAGCGUGGGGAGCGAACAGGAUUAGAUACCCUGGUAGUCCACGCCGUAAACGAUGCUAACUCGUUUUUGGGUUUUCGGAUUCAGAGACUAAGCGAAAGUGAUAAGUUAGCCACCUGGGGAGUACGUUCGCAAGAAUGAAACUCAAAGGAAUUGACGGGGGCCCGCACAAGCGGUGGAUUAUGUGGUUUAAUUCGAUGAUACGCGAGGAACCUUACCAAGGCUUAAAUGGGAAUUGACAGGUUUAGAAAUAGACUUUUCUUCGGACAAUUUUCAAGGUGCUGCAUGGUUGUCGUCAGCUCGUGCCGUGAGGUGUUAGGUUAAGUCCUGCAACGAGCGCAACCCCUGUCACUAGUUGCCAUCAUUCAGUUGGGGACUCUAGUGAGACUGCCUACGCAAGUAGAGAGGAAGGUGGGGAUGACGUCAAAUCAUCACGGCCCUUACGCCUUGGGCCACACACGUAAUACAAUGGCCAGUACAGAGGGCAGCUACCAGGCGACUGGAUGCGAAUCUCGAAA